CGCACGCAUGGUCUUUUGACGCUGUGGUACAACCUGGUAUAGUACCAUACAGUUGUGCUUCAGCAUAUCGAGUAGAGUUCUUAGGCGCCUGACCGUUCUUGGAAUUUCCAAUCAUUGGUGUCUAGUGUGCAAUGGUGUCAAGGAUUUUGCUCCAAGUGACGGAGGGGAGACCUCAUAAAUGGGAUUGGACGAUUCCAAUGGAUCGCCAAUGGAAAUCCUCAUUCUUUCCUCACAGUUUUAAUCAAAGAGCUGGGCUUUACGCGUUCGUUGGCUGGUCCGCCUUGCACCAACUGAGCUCGCCUCUUAUUGAUUUCGAGACAAUUUUGGGAUACCUUGUAUGGUCUAAGGGUAGGCUACUUACAGAUUGUAGAUACGCUCAUCAUGAACAUAGCCCCAGAACUUUUGUAUAUAGUGAAUAUAGCUUUGGAACUACAUAGCUAUAUAAAUUUUUCGCGGCUUCCACGAGAGAACAAAUUAAAAGUACAGACGUAUUAGUUUUUCGUAAGUAUUUGAUGUAUCAAUAGUUAUUAUACGUAUGAAAAUUGAAAAGUACAAAUAAUAUAACGUUUAAAGCAGAGUCUACAAUGUAGCUUUACUAAUGAAUAUGAAUAGAAAACAUUUCGAUUGGAA